ACAUGCAAGUCGAGGGGCAGAAUGGGCUUAUGUUGCUUCGGUCGAUGGCGACCGGGGCGCGGGUGACUAGCACAUAUCGCCCCUGCCAUCUACUCUUGGACUGCCUUCUAAUGCGAAUACUACUACAACAUGGCGUCCUGAGUCCACCUGUUCAAAUGAUUAAGAGCCUUCCUGAAAACGAUGCGGAUGCGAUCCAUUAGAUAGUAAGGGGAUGAACCGCCCACCUAAUCAUCGAUGGAUAGAGUUUCAGAUAGAAAGGUCCCCCUGAUUGUAACUGACACACCGUACUCACUCCUACGGGAGGCAUGAGUGAUGAUUAUUGGUGAAUGAGCGCCUGCCUGAACCACCCCACUAGCAUGAAGGAUGACUGCCCUAUGGGUUGUCCAGUUCUUUUAUAAAAGAAUGACGUCAGUCAUGUAUACCCGUUUGCAUGUACUUUAUGAAUAAGGAUCGGCUAACUCCAUGCCACCAGCCGCGGCAAUACUUACGGAUCCGAGCGUUAUCCGGAUUUAUUGAGAUUAAAUGGAGCUGAGAUGGAUGUUUAAGUCCCUUGUCAGCUUUUGCGGCUCAUCUCUCAUGAUUGCAGUUGAUACUGGAUAUCUUGACUGCGUAUCAGGCAAGUGCAAUUCUAGCUGUAGCAGUGAAAUGCUUAAAUAUCACCAACAGCUCCGAUUGCGAAGGUGACCUGCUAAGCUGCGACUGACAUUGAGGAUCGAAAGUGUGGGUAUCACACAGGAUUAGAUACGCUGAUAGUCCGCACGAGUAACGAUCGAUACUCGCUGUUUGCGACUAUACAACAAGCUGCCAAUCGAAAGCAUUAACUAUUCCACCUGAGUAGUACGCCGGCAACGGUGAAACUCAAAGGAAUUGACGGGGGCACGCACAAGCGGAGAAACAUGUAGUUUAAUUCGAUGAUACGCGAGGAACCCUAACCCGGGCUUAAAUUGCAGAUGAAUUACGAUGAAAGCCGUAAGCGACAAGGCAUACAUGAAGGUGCAUGCAUGGUGUCAGUCAGCUCGUGCCGUGAGGUGUCGGCUUAAGUGCACAUAACGAGCGCAACCAUUGCAGUCAGUUACUAACAGGUUUUGGUGAGGACUCUGACAAGACAACCAUAGUAAGAUGUGAGGAAGGUGGGGAUGAUGUCAAAUCAGCACGGCCGGUACGUCCGGGGCUACACACGUGUUACAACAGGGGGUACAGAGGGCCGGUGCCACAGGAGAGGAUACCAAUACCAAAAACCUUUGUCAGUUAGGACGGGAGUCUGCAACCCGAAUUCAGGAAGCUGGAUUAUCUAGUAAUAGCGCAUCAGGCAGGGCGCGGUGAAUACCUUCCCGGGCAUCGUACACCCCGCCAGUCAAGCCAGGGGAGCCGGGGGUACGUGAAGUGAGUACACGGGAGGAGCGCCCUAGGGUAAAACUGGUGACUGGGGCGAAGUC
rnacentral:rRNA from 1 species